rnacentral:rRNA from 1 species
AUUGAACGCUGGCGGCAUGCCUUACACAUGCAAGUCGAACGGUAACAGGUCUUCGGAUGCUGACGAGUGGCGAACGGGUGAGUAAUACAUCGGAACGUGCCCGAGAGUGGGGGAUAACGAAGCGAAAGCUUUGCUAAUACCGCAUACGAUCUCAGGAUGAAAGCAGGGGACCGCAAGGCCUUGCGCUCACGGAGCGGCCGAUGGCAGAUUAGGUAGUUGGUGGGAUAAAAGCUCACCAAGCCGACGAUCUGUAGCUGGUCUGAGAGGACGACCAGCCACACGGGGACUGAGACACGGCCCAGACUCCUACGGGAGGCAGCAGUGGGGAAUUUUGGACAAUGGGCGCAAGCCUGAUUCAGCCAUGCCGCGUGCAGGAUGAAGGCCUUCGGGUUGUAAACUGCUUUUGUACGGAACGAAAAGACUCUGGUUAAUACCUGGGGUCCAUGACGGUACCGUAAGAAUAAGCACCGGCUAACUACGUGCCAGCAGCCGCCGUAA